AUGCAGGAAGAGGACCAGGAAGGCGUCGGCAAUAACCAGAGGAGGUGCGCGGCGUGCAAGUACCUGCGCCGGCGGUGCGCCCACGACUGCGUGCUCGCCCCCUACUUCCCGGCGUCGCACCCCCACCGCUACGCCUCCGUCCACCGGGUCUUCGGCGCCAGCAACGUCGCCAGGUUGCUCCAGAGCUUGCCGGCGGAUGAGAGAGCUCAUGCGGCGGAGGCGAUGGCGAUGGAGGCGCAGUGGCGGGUGGAGGACCCGGUGUAUGGAUGCGCCGGGAUCAUCAGCCAGCUGCAGGAGGAGAUUCAGGCCACGCAGUGCGAGCUCGCCAGGACGCGGGCGCAGCUCGCCAUCGUCCCCGCGCACGGUGCGCAGCUGCAGGCUCUUCCGCCGCCGCCGCCGCCGCAGCCAGACGACGGCCACAGCGUCCCCGUCGCGCAGAGGCAGGGGCAGGGAGAGGCGGUGCCGUUGCUUGACCCGGACGAGUUCCUAGGUCUCGACGGGCUUUGA
rnacentral:rRNA from 1 species